UCGAUCAGUCUCUCGGUCUCGCUCUCGCUCUCGCUCUCCCUCUAAUCACAAACGCAUCCAGUCUCUCGCUCUCGCUCUCGAUCUCGGCCUCACUUGCAUCUCAUCAGGAUUUCGGAAGUGAAAUUGAAGCCUCAAUCAAGCAAAGUUGGUUAAGAUUUAGCAUCUGCCGAGGCCUUUAAGUAUUGUAACAGCAAUAUAAGAGUGAAUUUAGCUGCUACAAUGUGACGGAACCGCCCAUUGAUGCUCCUAGAGACCCAUUGUACAAGACCGAGAGGGACGUUUUUAAGGCUGGAAGAAAAGAAGAGUGGAUAGGCAGAAAGCAAGCAGCUGCAAAUGAGAUCUAACAACGUUUGAUGAGUUUAUGUACUGGUUUCCAUUCCAUUCAUUCUUGACAGUUUUAAUACCAAACUACUGCACAGAAAAUGGUGAGUGAAAAGGCCUAGAGGCAGAAAGUAAGCAGCUGCAAAUGAGAUCUAACAUGAGUUUAUGCACUGGUUUCCAUUACAGUUUGGGACAUGCAAGGUUAUUCAUUUGAUAAGCAAGUGAAGAUUGUCAUUGCCACCAUGACACUUCAUAAUUAUAUACGGAGACAUGCACAUGGUGAUAGACAUUUUGUCCGAAGUGAAGAAAGAGAAAGUUAUGGGUCAAGUGGUGGGAUAGAAAUGGAUGAUGAUGUAGAAGAAGAGAAUCAUGGUCACGGUGCACAAGAAAUGGAAACAAUAAGAAAUAACAUUACUCAAAGUUUGAUGAAUGCGCGUAAUAACAUGAACAUUUGAUGCGAACCAGAAACCAAUUGUUAUUAAUGUUA